CGUUAGAGCCGAAAUAGAUCCUUUUCCGUUUAUUGAGAACAGCUGAAACAAACUUAAGUAUCAUACAUUGUUUUGUUUGGUGGAUACUUAAAAAUUGACAAAUAGGCUUGAGUUUGCCAGGUUCUCUGAUCCUUCUACUUAGGCCUGACGUUCGAGGACCAGAUUCGGAUCAGAUCAGAUACGGCUCGAGUUCUUCGGUUCGGUUCACUUCGGAUUUCAGAUUUUUCCCCAGCCGACUUCUACUAGUGGUCUCUCCACACUUCUUUGUUCACCAUAUACGCGGAACCUGGAUUGGCUCUGCCAUAAGACUUUUCAGAGGCUGUUACCUUCUUCAAGAAUAUAUCCAAGUGUCGGGUGAGUUCAUGAAUUAGUUCACGCAGCGCCUUGGGGGUAUCAAACACUAUAGGGAUCGUUCUUCUGUUGGUGGUAUACCAUGUUUGGACUCUGAUCAUUUUUGUCUCAUAAUCACAUUCCUCUUCCAUCUCCAAGAACAUAUUUGAUGUUCCUUUGUUCUAGAAAUAUGAGUACGGGAACGGAGACAAGAAAUAACAAAAAUAAAAUUCUAUAGA